AGCCCAAACCUCUGAUUAACCAUCUGAGGCAAGCAACAAGUCAGCUCCCGAAAGGGGUGGAGCUGGACUCCACCUCUCCCUAGAUCCCAUUUAAGGGCUGACCACCACUAAGGUAGUAUCUCUUUCUGGAGAUUGUUCCUUUGUAGAGUUUUUUUGUGGUGAGCCUCAACAUUGGAGAGUAUUCAUCUUGACUGAAAGCCUCAGCACUGUUGAAACUUGGAACAGGAUAAAUCCCUGAAGGUUGCACUAGCAACAAAAAUGCCUGAGGAAGAAGAAGCGAAAGUGAGGAGAUAAAGUGACUGGCAGAGCAAGAGGGUUCUGAAAGCAUGCAUUAAAUAUUAGAAACAAACUGCCACUGUGUACUCUCCUUGUGAAGCCAGAUCGUGCCCCUGAAGGUCAAGAUUUCUUUUUCUGACCUGGUUCCUGGUUCCCCGUUCACCAGGCCAGCCUUUUACCUCACUUAGCUUGACUUGUGGCACAACGGGAUUGACUGCUCCUUGGUUUUUAAAAGGCAAUUCUUGAAAAGCAACCAGCUAUCAUGGAAGAUGAGAGACUGGAGUAAAGUCUCAGGUAAUGCAGUAUCCAUAUGGGCCAGCCUGGUUCCUGGGAAGAAGUAACACCACCCCUUAGAUAAAACUCUUAAUCAGAAAAACUGAAAACCUUACAGCUGAAGGAACAAGUCAGGUAUCUAACAGUUCUUUAAGAAAAUUUCUGAACAGAGGGGAGGAAAAAUAAAAGAA